UACAGAGGGUGCGAGCGUUGUUCGGAAUUAUUGGGCGUAAAGCGCUUGUAGGCGGCUUGUUAAGUUCCGUGUGAAAUCCCCAGGCUUAACCUGGGAAGUGCGCGGAAAACUGGCGAGCUUGAGUGCCGGAGAGGGUCGCGGAAUUCCCGGUGUAGAGGUGAAAUUCGUAGAUAUCGGGAAGAACACCAGUGGCGAAGGCGGCGAC
rnacentral:rRNA from 1 species